rnacentral:rRNA from 1 species
CGUACACUCCUACGGGAGGCAGCAGUGGGGAAUAUUGCACAAUGGGCGCAAGCCUGAUGCAGCCAUGCCGCGUGUAUGAAGAAGGCCUUCGGGUUGUAAAGUACUUCCAGCGGGGAGGAAGGCGAUAAGGUUAAUAACCUUGUCGAUUGACGUUACCCGCAGAAGAAGCACCGGCUAACUCCGUGCCAGCAGCCGCGGUAAUACGGAGGGUGCACGCGUUAAUCGGAAUUACUGGGCGUAAAGCGCACGCAGGCGGUCUGUCAAGUCGGAUGUGAAAUCCCCGGGCUCAACCUGGGAACUGCAUUCGAAACUGGCAGGCUAGAGUCUUGUAGAGGGGGGUAGAAUUCCAGGUGUAGCGGUGAAAUGCGUAGAGAUCUGGAGGAAUACCGGUGGCGAAGGCGGCCCCCUGGACAAAGACUGACGCUCAGGUGCGAAAGCGUGGGGAGCAAACAGGAUUAGAAACCCGGGUAGUCCC